rnacentral:tRNA from 1 species
GUGGGUAUAGCCGAGUUGGUUAAGGCGCCAGAUUGUGGCUCUGGAGAUCGUGGGUUCGAAUCCCACUAUUCACCCCA